ACUGGAUCAAGCUUUUCCAAUCGCCAAUUUCAUAAUUGGACAUGGUACACACCAUCCUCCAACACGACGACAGGUAGCAUAGUAUGGAGAAGUGGCUAUCCUAAUCAUGAUAGUUCAAAGUAUCGUGUGAAUUACAACCCAUCAAAAGGCGGCUUUGGCAAUGUACCUGACUAUACACGACCCUACCUGUGUCAACAGUACUAUCCACCAGCACCGGUCAAAAUACAUUUGAACUCCACGUGGGUAUAUGAACUGGCGGUUUCUGCUGCCUUACACCCUGCAACCUACUUGUCUAAUAUCAGUGAAUACUGCUUUACGUACGGACCAGCGCUCACUGCAGCCAACACUGAUAUGGACGUUGGGACAAUUUCUGUGUGCGGGACUCUAAACUCUGUUCGGCUCAAUUGUAAAAGCAACACACUUUACAAUAUCUCAGCUUACGUGAAAACAGUGGCAGGACUUAGCAGUUCAGUAUCGGGAGGGACUCCAUUUGCAACUCGUCCAGAAAGUCCAUUGGGGGUAAUAAUAUACAAAAUCGCUGACACAUUUGUCCAGCUAAAGGCCAAUGUAAGGGUGCACGGCGACCUUCCUAUUGUGCGGUACUUUUUCAAAUGUGGUAAAAAGAAGAAGGUUUCUGAGCUGUACACGUCUCCAUUCCAACAAUCUACCUACAUGUUUACGGAUUUGACAGCUGACACAAACUAUAGCGUCUCCACAGCAAUCCAAAACAAAUACGGUUGGAGCAGCCUCUCCCAAUCAACAUCUAUCACGACCCUUC